ensembl:lncRNA
AGCAGGGAGCAGGGCGGCGAUCCUGCCGGGGCCGUGCCUGGCGGCGGGGCUGUGGGGGGUCUCUUUGCUUUUCCGUGGCCUUGGGGUACCCGGCGCGUUCCGGCGCUGUGUCGGAGAUGCUCCUGAAUGCGUAGGAACAGUAAUUGCCGCCUCUCGUCCUCAGAGCAGGGAGAACUGCUGCGGGGCUCCCGAGUUCCCCUCUCUCCCUGUCCCGUCGUUGGGAGCCCGGCGUAUGUCACAGGCAACGUCUGUAGUGAACUGAAAAUACCGUGGGUUUAUCCCGCUCAGAAUUCCAGAACCACAUCGCUCUGCCAUGAAUGAAUAUUGACUCGUGAACAGGUGAGCCUGCUGAUCAGCACACAUCCAGACCUGUGGUUUAAGGACAGUGGCAAACAGCUGAAAAAGUAUUAAUUACUGUCACGGUCUUCCAUUGACAUUAACUGCAUUUUGAAUGCCUUCCCCAGUGUGCCCAAAUACCUUAAGAAAUGCUCUCAAUGAAGGCACUCGGUUCAGCUCGGGCCCAGUCCAGAAAAAAACAGUGUUUGUCCUCAGAGGGAAAUAUUAAAAAGAAAUGGCCAAAACACACUCACUGUCUCUUGUCUGGAGUAAACAGCCCUCGCUCAUCAGGAUAUUGCAAAAUCUCAAUGUCGUCUUUGCAUCGGUCUCAGAAAUGCCUUCUUUCAUGUUUGAGUCUAUUAGAUUAUUUUAUUCUGGACAAUGACUCAGGACAUAAUAAGCCACAUGUUUAUCACAGCCAUGUCAGAUAGCUGGAACUCAUGCUAUCUGAAGUGAACUGUGGGGAUUUGCGUAGGUUUCGGCAAGUACAAAACAGAUGCUCUUCCCAGUGGCUCUGGUUUAUGUAUGUACAGGCAGUGAGUCUGUGCACAUAUUCCUUCCCUGGCUGCAGCAUAAGCAAACCUCGAUCUUCACUCCUGAAGAGAUUAAUCGUUCAGGCUGAGGCUGUAUUUCACCCUUAAUAAUUCUUGUGGAAACUGUGCCCCUCUGGAACAAGGAACAAAACAAAGUCUGGCAUAAAAUUUGUGAGAGCUGAACAAAAUUCAGCUGAACCAAACCAGCUGUUGAACUCUUUUGCACAGUGGCUCCAGUAAAUUGGGAAUAUGAUCACUUUUUAGGUAGUGCUGAGGUUUCUUUCCCUUCAAGAGAAUUGUUAUGGCAUACAUAAAUUUCUAUUCAGACUUCUUUUAAAAAUCCCCAACAUAAACCCUCUUUUAGGCAGACCUUGAGUCUUGAAAGUACCAGAGACAUCCCAAAGUUUGCUCUGAUAUUAAUUUUAUGUAAAACAUGAUCUGAU